rnacentral:rRNA from 1 species
AGCGGGAAUAUUGCACAAUGGGCGAAAGCCUGAUGCAGCGAUGCCGUGUGAGGGAUGAAGGCCCUCGGGUUGUAAACCUCUGUGGAUGGGGACGAAGCUCUGACGGUACCCAUCUAGAAAGCUCCGGCUAACUCCGUGCCAGCAGCCGCGGUAAGACGGAGGGAGCAAGCGUUGUCCGGAUUUACUGGGCGUAAAGCGCGCGUAGGCGGCCUGCUCAGUCGGCUGUGAAAUCGCUGGGCCCAACUCAGCAACUGCAGUCGAUACUGGUAGGCUCGAGUCCGGGAGAGGGAAGCGGAAUUCCUGGUGUAGCGGUGGAAUGCGUAGAUAUCAGGAAGAACACCGGUGGCGAAGGCGGCUUCCUGGACCGGUACUGACGCUGAGGCGCGAAAGCUAGGGGAGCGAACGGGAUUAGAUACCCGAGUAGUCC